rnacentral:rRNA from 1 species
UUUAACUGAAGAGUUUGAUCAUGGCUCAGAUUGAACGCUGGCGGCAGGCCUAAGACAUGCAAGUCGAACGGUAACGACACUAGCUUGCUAGUGGGCGACGAGUGGCGGACGGGUGAGUAACGCGUAGGAAUCUACCUAGUAGUGGGGGAUAGCCAAGGGAAACUUUGGGUAAUACCGCAUACGAUCUACGGAUGAAAGGGGGCCUCUCUUUGAUGCUCUCGCUAUUAGAUGAGCCUGCGUAAGAUUAGCUUGUUGGUGGGGUAAUGGCUCACCAAGGCUACGAUCUUUAGCUGGUCUGAGAGGACGAUCAGCCACAUUGGGACUGAGACACGGCCCAGACUCCUACGGGA